rnacentral:rRNA from 1 species
UACGGAGGGGGCUAGCGUUGUUCGGAAUUACUGGGCGUAAAGCGCACGUAGGCGGCUUCGCAAGUCAGAGGUGAAAGCCCGGGGCUCAACCCCGGAACUGCCUUUGAGACUGCGUCGCUCGAAUCCGGGAGAGGCGGGUGGAAUAUGGCGUGUAGAGGUGAAAUUCUUAGAUAUGAGGAAGAACACCAAUGGCGAAGGCGGCCCGCUGGACCGGCAUUGACGCUGAGGUGCGAAAGCGUGGGGAGCAAACAGG